rnacentral:rRNA from 1 species
GACACGCUGGCGGCGUGCCUAACACAUGCAAGUCGAGCGGGGUUGAAGCGAGGGGUAACUCAAGCUUCUACCUAGCGGCGGACGGGUGAGUAACGCGUGGGCAACCUGCCUCAAGGUUUGGGAUAACAGCUCGAAAGGGCUGCUAAUACCGGAUAUGCCUAUGGCCUCGCAUGGGGCUAUGAGCAAAGGGGAAACCCGCCUUGAGAUGGGCCCGCGUCCCAUCAGCUAGUUGGUGAGGUAACAGCUCACCAAGGCGACGACGGGUAGCCGGCCUGAGAGGGUGACCGGCCACACUGGGACUGAGACACGGCCCAGACUCCUACGGGGGGCAGCAGUGGGGGAUCUUGCACAAUGGGCGAAAGCCUGAUGCAGCGACGCCGCGUGAGCGAAGAAGGCCUUCGGGUUGUAAAGCUCUGUCUGGAGGGACGAAGGAAGUGACGGUACCUCCGGAGGAAGCCACGGCUAACUACGUG